AACGAACGCUGGCGGCAUGCCUAACACAUGCAAGUCGAACGAGAUCUUCGGGUCUAGUGGCGCACGGGUGCGUAACGCGUGGGAAUCUGCCCUUUGGUUCGGAAUAACAGGUGGAAACGACUGCUAAUACCGGAUGAUGACGAAAGUCCAAAGAUUUAUCGCCAGAGGAUGAGCCCGCGUAGGAUUAGCUAGUUGGUGUGGUAAAGGCGCACCAAGGCGACGAUCCUUAGCAGGUCUGAGAGGAUGAUCAGCCACACUGGGACUGAGACACGGCCCAGACUCCUACGGGAGGCAGCAGUGGGGAAUAUUGGACAAUGGGCGAAAGCCUGAUCCAGCAAUGCCGCGUGAGUGAUGAAGGCCUUAGGGUUGUAAAGCUCUUUUACCCGGGAUGAUAAUGACAGUACCGGGAGAAUAAGCUCCGGCUAACUCCGUGCCAGCCGCCGCAGUAA
rnacentral:rRNA from 1 species